GUAAAUAUAGCUUAACCGUUAAAGCAUUAGAUUGUGAAUCUAAAGUUAGAGCUUCAAUAUCCUCUUAUUUACC
rnacentral:tRNA from 3 species